UACGAGAGGCCCAAACGUUAUUCGGAAUUACUGGGCUUAAAGAGUUCGUAGGCGGCGCAGAAAGUAGGGUGUGAAAGCCCUCGGCUUAACCGAGGAAUUGCGCCCUAAACUACUGUGCUUGAGGAACCUAGAGGUGAGCAGAACAGAUGGUGGAGCGGUGAAAUGCGUAGAUAUCGCUUGGAACGCCAAAGGUGAAAACAGGUUGCUGGGGUUGUGCCGACGCUGAGACACGAAAGCCAGGGGAGCAAACGGG
rnacentral:rRNA from 1 species